GAUGAACGCUGGCGGCGUGCCUAAUACAUGCAAGUCGAGCGAACAGACGAUGAGCUUUCUCCUCUGCCGUUGGCGGCUGACGGGUGGGUAACACGUGGAUAACCUACUUCUUUUACUGGGGUGACAUCGUGAAGCCGGAGCUAAUACUACCUCAUAUAUUCUACGGCUUGGUUCAAUAGUGAAUGGCGGCUUUCCCGUCUCAAUUAGAUGGUUCCGCGUCGCAUUAGCUAGUUGGUAAGGUAAAGGCUUACCAAGGCGACGAUGCGUAGCCGACCUGAGAGGGUGAUCGGCCACACUGGAACUGAGACACGGUCCAGACUCCUACGGGAGGCAGCAGUGGGGAAUAUUCGACAAUGGGCGAAAGCCUGACCCAGCAAUGCCGCGUGAGUGAAGAAGGCCUUCGGGUCGUAAAGCCCUUUUAUUAGGGAAGAAAAACUGUGGAAGUAACUAUGCCUGUUUUGACGGUACCUAAUGAGAAAGCAACGGCUAACUACGUG
rnacentral:rRNA from 1 species